rnacentral:tRNA from 1 species
GGACAGGGUGGAGACGUCGGGGAAUCCGUGUCCCGUCUCCCACUUGGAGACGGUUUUGGGUUGGAUUCCCAGCCUGUCCGCCA